UCAUCCUCUCAGAUUGGCAAGCAGCAA
rnacentral:piRNA from 1 species